AUUGAACGCUAGCGGGAUGCCUUACACAUGCAAGUCGAACGGCGUGGCGAACGAGUGAGUAAUGUAGCGGAACGUGCACAGUAGCGGGCGAUAACUCCGCGAAAGCGUAGCUAAUAACGCAUACUAUUGGAGCGGCCGAUAUCGGAUUAGCUAGUUGGUGGGGGAACUGCUUACCAAGGCGACGAUCCGUAGGUGGUUUGAGAGGACGAACAGCCACACUGGGACUGAGACACGGCCCAGACUUCUACGGGAGGCAGCAGUGGGGAAUUUUGGACAAUGGGGGAAACCCUGAUCCAGCCAUCCCGCGUGUGCGAUGAAGGCCUUCGGGUUGUAAAGCACUUUUGGCAGGAAAGCGGUACCUGCAGAAUAAGCACCGGCUAACUACGUGCCAGCAGCCGCGGUAAUUC
rnacentral:rRNA from 1 species